rnacentral:lncRNA from 1 species
CCAGCUUGUUCCAGCCUCCUGCCUGCCCCUCUGUGGCUGACAGUCGACUCCCCUGGAGUCACUGCCCUGAGUCUCAAGGGUACUUCUCUGCAAGCUCCAGGCCACCAAUGCCACCAGAAAUCUCUGAAGUUGCUCCAGUGGCUUAACCGCAUCACAAAGUCACCAGACUGGAUAAAGUUAUUCCGCUGACCUAAAGCCUGUCAGAUGUGCUGGCCCCUCCCCGACAGGGUGCGCCGGGGCAAGCUGGCCAAGGCUCCUUCACCAGCCACCCCCGAAGUCACUGCUGACCACCUACCGCAUCUCAGCACGGGGCCGGGCAGCUUGCACCACGGGGCUCCUGCCUAGGGCUGCACCCCUGCCUCAGAGCUUCCCGUUCCUCUCGCAACACCAGCUGAACGCCUCUACUCCACAGAACCUCCCUCCUGCGGGGGGAGCCCACUGCUGCUCCACGAGGUUCCUGGCUAAGGGCCUGCUCUGGCCUUUGCUUCUGUCUGCUUUUUACACUGACUUUGUAUUUUUACGUGCCUGUCUGUCCUGCGACAUCAAAGUCUCGCUCCAAGAACAUAACAAAGUAACUGAAAUCGAGUGAGUGAAGUAUUGCCUGGUAGAGAUUCUCAAGGAAUCUGCUUUGACAAAUUAAUAAAUGAAUUUCAUUGGUACAA